rnacentral:rRNA from 1 species
AUUGAACGCUGUCGGCAGGCUUAACACAUGCAAGUCGCGCGAGUAGCGGACGGGUGAGUAAUGUCUGGGAAACUGCCUGAUGGAGGGGGAUGACUACUGUAAACGGUAGCUACUACCGCAUACCAUCCGAUGUGCCCAGAUGGGAUUAGCUAGUAGGUGGGGUAAUGGCUCACCUAGGCGACGAUCACUAGCUGGUCUGAGAGGAUGACUAGUCACAAUGGAACGAGGAUACGGGCCAGAAUCCUACGGGAGGAAGCAGUGGUGAAUAUGACAAAAGGGGCGAAAGCCUGAUGAAGCCAUGCAGCGUGUGGGAAGAAGGCCUUCGGGUUGUAAAGCACUAGCAGCGAGGAGGCGUUACUCGCAGAAGAAGCACAGGAGAACUCCGUGCCAGCAGCCGCGGUAAUAC